GUGUCAGCCGCCGCGGUAAUACGGGGGGGGCAAGCGUUGUUCGGAAUUACUGGGCGUAAAGGGCGUGUAGGUGGCCAACUAAGUCCGACGUGAAAUCCCCAGGCUUAACCUGGGAACUGCGUCGGAUACUGGAUGGCUUGAAUUCGGGAGAGGAAUGCAGAAUUCCAGGUGUAGCGGUGAAAUGCGUAGAUAUCUGGAGGAAUACCGGUGGCGAAGGCGGCAUUCUGGACCGACAUUGACACUAAAGCGCGAAAGCCAGGGGAGCAAACGGGAUUAGAAACCCCGGUAGUCC
rnacentral:rRNA from 1 species